rnacentral:rRNA from 1 species
CCUACGGGAGGCAGCAGUGAGGAAUAUUGGUCAAUGGGCUUACGCCUGAACCAGCCAAGUCGCGUGAGGGAAGACUGCCCUAUGGGUUGUAAACCUCUUUUGUCAGGGAGCAACGCCGGCUACGUGUAGCCGGACUGAGAGUACCUGAAGAAAAAGCAUCGGCUAACUCCGUGCCAGCAGCCGCGGUAAUACGGAGGAUCCGAGCGUUAUCCGGAUUUAUUGGGUUUAAAGGGUGCGUAGGCGGAAUGCCAAGUCAGCGGUAAAAUCGAGAGGCUCAACCUCUUUCCGCCGUUGAAACUGUCGGUCUUGAGUGGGCGAGAAGUAUGCGGAAUGCGUGGUGUAGCGGUGAAAUGCAUAGAUAUCACGCAGAACUCCGAUUGCGAAGGCAGCAUACCGGCGCCCGACUGACGCUGAGGCACGAAAGCGUGGGUAUCGAACAGGAUUAGAUACCCAGUAGUC